AUACUUAACCCAGAAGGGGAGCUGCCAUAAUCACGAAGGUGGUUUUCCCAGGCGAUUUCCCCAAAUGUGGGAAACUAGAUGCAUAAUUUGUGGUUGUGGGGGACUGUGUCCGCGCUCUCCACUG
rnacentral:snRNA from 12 species